GCCUCCCGAGUAGCUGGGACUACAGGCAUGUGCCACCAUGCCCAGAGACGCUAAAUCGAACUGCACACUGAGGAGCAUGCGGAAGAGAAAACCGGGCUGGCUACCGGAAGAACUCUGGGGAGAUGAGGGAAGGCCCUGGGAAAGUGGGGCUCCAGGAGGCUGAAGAUGACCGUCCCUCUCCUAGAUGGGGCAGCUGGAUGAGAGAGUGCCAGGGUCCAGCCACCUGCUGAGCGUGGGAGAGGUGUCCUCGGGGCUUAGCCUCCACCUUCUCCUCCCCUGAGGCUGGACUGGAGCGGAUGCAAAGCCAUCCUCCGCAGCCCUGUGGCUUUCAGAGUUUCUACCUCCGUGCCAAUCUGCGUCCUGGUCUCUGCCUCUCCGUCCCUCUCCCUAAGGCUGUCUCGGCCCCCAACUGUGUUCUCGUCCCCUUCUCGGCCUGCGAGAGGGCA